UGGGGAGUGGUGUAACGGUAACACGCCACGCUCUGGACGUGGAAUUUGGGGUUCGAAUCCCUGCUCCCCAG
rnacentral:tRNA from 1 species